AGGUCAAGCGAGCCCCGGAGCAGACGAUAGGUAUGAAGUAAGUUGUCCCUGAUGGCCAAAAUGAUCCAGUUUCAAGGUCAAACAAACCGCAAAGCAGCCAAUUGGUCUUGACGGUCAAAACGUCCCAUUUUGAACAUCAAACGAGCCCCAAAGCAGGUAAACCCCUCAUUUUAUUGAUUUUUAUGUUCUAUAGUCCAUGAUCUUGUUUGGUAAUCCAAAAUUCCAAUGUAUUUUUUGCCCAAAUUUUUUGUGUAAGUCCGGUUAAACGUUAGUUAUGGAUCCAGUUGUCCAUAAUGUCCAAAACAACCUAUUUUGAAGAUCAAACGAGCCCCGAAGAAGGUUAAACCCCAUUUUUUCUGAUUUUCGUGUGCUAUAGUCCAUAUAUUUUUGGUGAUCCAGAUUUCCAAUGUUUUUUUUGCUCAAAUUUUCUGUUGACGUCCGUUAUGACGUUAGUUAUGGAUAUAGCUGACUCUGACGCCCAAAACAACUCAUUUUAAAGGUCAAAUAAGCCCCAAAGCCUGUAAACCCCAUUUUCCCGAUUUUCGUGUAUUAUAGUUCAUGAAUUUUUAGUGAUCCAGAAUUCAGACGUCUUUUUGCCCCAAGUUUUUUGUGAACAUCCGUUAAGACGUUCUCUAUGGAGCCAGUUAAUCCUGAAGAUCAAAAAGACCCAUUUUGAAGGUCAAACGAGUCUAGAAGAAGAUUUUUCGUGGACGUCUGUUAAGACGUUAGUAAUGGAACCAAUUGGCCUUCACGGCAAAAACAACCCAAUUUGAAAAUCAAACGAGUCCCGUAGCAGGUAAACCCCCCUCUAUUUUUCCGAUAUUCAUGUGCCUUAGUCUAUGGGUUUUUGUUAUCCAGAAUUUCGACGUCUUAUUUACUAAAAUUUUUCUUGGGCAUAUGUUAAGACGUUAGCUAUCGAGCCAGUGUGCCCUAACGGUCAAAAUGACCCAUUUUCAAGGUGAAACGAUCCAUGGAGCAUGUAAACCCUAUUUUGCCGAUUUUCGUGUACUAUAGUCCAUGGAUUUUUGGUGAGCUGGAAUUCCGACAUUGUUUUUGCCAAAAUUUAUUGUGGAUGUACGUUAAGAUGUUAUCAUUGUAGCCAGUUACUCCUGACGGCCAAAACGACCCAUUUUGAAAGUCAAACAAUCACCAGACUAAGUAAACCCCUCAUUUUGCUGAUUUUCAUGUGCUAUAGUCCACUAUCUUUUUUGGUGAUCCAGAAUUUUGACGACUUUUUUAUCUAAAUUUUUUUGUGGACGUCCGUGAAGACAUUAGCUAUGGAGCUAGUUGUCCCUAACAACCAAAAUAACCCAUUUUGAAAGUCAAACGAGCACUGGAGCAGGUAAACCCCCCAUUUUGCCGAUUUGCGUAUGCUAUAGUCCAUGGAUUUUUGGUGAUCCAGAUUUCCAAUGUAUUUAUUGCUCAACGUUUUUGUGGAUGUCCGUAAAUAAGUUAUUUCUGGAGCCAUUUAGACCUGACGGCCAGAACGACUCAUUUUCAAGGUCAAACGAGCCCCGAAGCAGAUUUUAAUGUAAUAUAAUACAUGGAUUUUUGGUUAUCCAGCGUCUUUUUUGCCCAAAUUUUGUGGUGUCCGUUAAAACAUUAUCUAUGGAGCCAGUUGGCCCUGGCGGCCAAAAUAUCUCAUUUUGAAGGUCAAACGAGCACCAGAGAAGGUAAAUCCCUCAUUUUACAGAUUUUCAUGUGCUAGUCCACGAUCUUUUUUGGUGAUCUUGAAUUCCGAUGUCUUUUUUCCCAAACUUUUUAUGGACGUUCAUUAAGAUGUUAGUUAUGAAGCCAAUUGACCUUGAUGGCUAAAACGAUCCAUUUUGAAGGUUAAAUGAGCUCCCGAGCAGGUAAACCCUCUAUCUUGUCGAUUUUCAUGUACUAUAAUCCAUGAAUUUUUGGUGAUCCGGAAUUCCAACUUUUUUUUCUCAAAUUUUUUUGUGGAUGGACGUUAAGACGUUAUCUAUAGAGCCAAUUGACCCCUGAUGGACAAAACGAUCCAUUUUGUAAGUCAAAUGAACCCCGAAGUAGGUAAACCUAUUUGCCAUUUUUUGUGUAUGAUAGUCCAUUGAUUUUCGGUGAUUCAGAAUUUUGACUUCUUUUUCGCCCACAUUUUUUAUGGAUGUGCAUUAAGAAGUUAUCUAUGAAGCCAGUUGGCCCCUGAUGGCUAAAAAGGCCCAUUUUGAAGGUCAGAUGAGCCCCGAAGCAUGUAAACUUCUCAUUUUAUCAAUUUUUGUGUGCUAUAGUUCACAAUCUUUUUUAGUGAUCUAGAAUUCCAACAUAUUUUUUGCCUAAAUUUUUUGUAGACGCCUGUUAUAACAUUUUUAAUGGAGCCAUUUGGCCCUAACGACAAAAACAACUCAUUUUGAAGGUCAAGAGCCCAGAGUGAGUAAACAUCCAAUGUUGCCAAUUUUCAUAUGCUAUAGUCCAUAGAUUUUUUGUAAUCUAGAAUUCUGAUGAUUUUUUUGCUUAAAUUUUUUGUGGAUGUCCAUUAAGGCGUUAUCUAUAGAGCCAUUUGCCUUGACGGCUAAAACGAUCCAUUUUCAAGGUCAAACGAGCCCCGAAGUAGGUAAACCCCAUUUUGUUGAUUUUCUUGUACUAUAGUCCAUAGAUUUUUGGUGAUCCAGAAUUCUAACGUCUUUUUUGCCCAAAUUUUUUGUGGACGUCCAUUAAGUCAUUAUCUAAAUAGUCAGCUAGCCAUGACGAUGAAAAUAAUCUAUUUUGAAGGUCAAACGAACCCUAGAGAAGGUAACCCCCCAUUUGGCCGAUUUUCGUGUGCUAUAGUCCACGAUCUUUUUUUGUGAUCAAGAAUUCCGACGUCUUUUUUGCCCAAAUUUUUUUGUGAACAUUCAUUAAGAAUUUAGAUAUGGAGUCAGUUGGUCAUAACGGCCAAAACAAUCAAUUUUAAAGGUCAAACGAGCCAUGGAGUAGGUAAACCCCUCAUUUUGCCAAUUUUUAUGUGCUAUAGUCCAUGGAUUUUUAGUGAUCCAGAAUUUGACGAUCUUUUUGCUCAAUUUUUUAUGCAUGUCCGUUAAGACGUUAUCUAUGAAUUCGUUUUUCCAUGAACUCCAAAACAAUCCAUUAUAAGUCAAACGAGCCCCGAAGCAGGUAAACCCCAUUUCUGUGAUUUUCAUGUAAUAAAAUUCAUAAAUUUUGGUAAUUCAAAAUUUCGACAUCUUAUUUGCCCAAUUAUUUGUGGACACUUGUUAAGAUGUAAUCUAUGAUCUAGUUGGCUCUAACGGUCAAAACAACCAAUUUUGAAGGUCAAAUGAGCAUUGGAGUAUGUUAACCCCCCAAUUUGUUGAUUUUAGUGUACUAUAGUUCAUAUAUAUUUGGUGAUCCAAAAUUCGAACAUCGUUUUUUGCCCAAAUUUUUUGUCGACGCACAUUAAGACGUUAUCUAUGGAACCAGUUGGCCCCGACAGCCAAAACGGCCCAUAUUGAAGGUCAAAUGAGCCCCAAAGUAGGUAAAACCCUCAUUUUGCCAAUUUUUGUGUGGUAUAGUCUCUAAUCUUUUUGGUGAUCCAAAAUCCGAUAUUAUUUGCAUAAAUUUUUGUAGACAUCCAUAAAGAGGUUAGAUAUGGAGCCAGUUGGCCUAACAACCAUAAAGACUCAUUUUGAAGGUUAAACGAGUCUCGGAGUAGUUAUGGAGUAAGUUGUCUCUGAUGACCAAAAUGAUCAAAUUUCAAGGUCAAACGAACCACAAAGCAGCCAAUUGGCCCUGAUGGUCAAAACUUCCCAUUUUGAACAUCAAACGAGCCCUGAAGAAGGUAAACCCCUCAUUUUGCUGAUUUUUAUGUGCUAUUGUCGAUGAUCUUGUUUGGUAAUCCAGAAUUCUGAUGUUUUUUUUCCCAAAUAUUUUUUUGAAAGUCCGUUAAGACGUUAGAUAUGGAGUCAGUUGUCCAUAAUGUCCAAAAUGACCUAUUUUGAAGAUCAAACGAGCCCCGGAGAAGGUUAACCCCUCAUUUUUUCUGGUUUUCGUGUGCUAUAGUCCAUAGAUUCUUUGUGGUCCAGAUUUCCAAUGUCUUUUUUGUUCAAAUUUUCUGUGGACGUCCAUUAUGACGUUAGCUAUGGAUCUAGUUGGCUCUGACGCCCAAAUUAACUGAUUUUCAUGGUCAAAUGAGUCCCAAAGCCUGUAAACCCUAUUUUUUUUUUAUUUUUGUGUAUUAUAGUUCAUGAAUUUUUAGUGAUCCAGAAUUCAGACGUCUUUUUUGUCCAAGUUUUUUGUGGACGUCCGUUAAGACGUUCUCUAUGGAGUCAGUUGGCCCUGACGACCAAAAAAGCCCAUUUUGAAGGUCAAACGAGCCUAAAAGCUGAUUUUUUGUGGAUGUCCGUUAAGACGUUAGCAAUGGAACCAGUUGGCCUUCACGACCAAAACAGCCCAAUUUGAAGGUCAAACGAGCCCCGGAGCAGAUAUUAGGUAUGGAGCGAGUUGGCCCUAACGGCCAAAAUAACCCAUUUUGAAGGUCAAACGAGCACUGGAGCGGGUAAACCCCUUAUUUUGCCAUUUUGCGUAUGCUAUUGUCCAUGAAUUUUUUAUGAUCCAGAUUUACAACAUCAUUAUUGCUUAAAUUUUUUGUGGAUGUUCGUUACAAUGUUACUUAUACAGCCAAUUAGUCUUGACGGCUAAAACGAUCCAUUUUGAAGGUCAAACAAGCUCAUGAGCAGGUAAACCUCCAUCUUUCCAAUUUUCAUGUACAAUAGUCGAUUAAUUUUUGGUGGAUGUCAGUUAAUACGUUACCUACGGAGCUAUUUGUCCCGACAGCCAGAACGGACCAUUUUCAAGGUCAAACGAGCCCCGAAGCAGUUAAACCCCAUUUUGCCAAUUUUUAUGUACUAUAGUCCAUAGAUUUUUGGUUAUUUAGAAUGCCGACGUCUUUUUUUUCCAAAUUUUUUGUGGCAUCAGUUAAAAAAUUAUCAUGGAGUCAGUUGGCCCUUACGGUCAAAACGUCCCAUUUUUAAGGUCAAACGAGCUUCAGAGAAGGUAAACCCCUUAUUUUGCUGAUUUUCAUGUGCUAUAGUCCAUGAUCUUCUUUGGUUAUCCUGAAUUUCGAUGUUUUUUUUUGCCCAAACUUUUUGUGGAUGUGCGUUACGAUGUUAGUUUUGGAGACAAUUAGUCGGCUAAAACGACCCAUUUUGAAGGUCAAAUGAGCUCACGAGUGGGUAAACCCCUAUCUUGCCGAUUUUCAUGUACAAUAGUCCAUGAAUUUUUGGUGAUUUGAAAUUCUAACUUAUUUUUUUCCAAAACUUUUCCUGGGCGUCCGUUAAGACGUUAUCUAUAGAUUCAGUUGGCUCGUGAUGGCAAAAAAUGAUCCAUUUUGUAGGUCAAACGAGCCUCGAAGCAGGUAAACCCCAUUUGCCAUUUUUGUGUAUGAUAGUCCAUUGAUUUUUGGUGAUCCAAAUAUUUGACGUCUUUUUCGCUCAAUCUUUUUAUGGACAUACGUUAAGAAGUUAUCUAUGAAGCUAGUUGGCCCUGAUGGUCAAAAAGACUCAUUUUGAAGGUCAAACGAGUCCCGAAGCAUGUAAACUACUCAUUUUGUCAAUUUUCAUUGCUAUAUAUAGUCCACAAUCUUUUUUGGUGAUCCAGAAUUUCAACGUAUUUUUUACCUAAUUUUUUGUAGACAUCUAUUAUGACGUUUUUAAUGGAACCAUUUGGCCCUAACGUCUGUUUUGACGUUUUAUUUGUCCAAUUUUUUUGUGGACGUUUAUUAAGAUGUUUCUAUGGAUCCAGUUAUAUCUAACGGCUAAAACGAUCCAUUUUGAAGGUCAAAUGAGUCCAGAGCAGGUAAACCCCUUAUUUUGUCGACUUUCGAGUUCAUAGUCCAUAAUCUUUUUUGAUGAUCUAGAAUUCGACGUCCUUAUGAAUAAAAAUUUUUGGGACGUCCGUUAAGACAGUAACUAUGGAGAGAUUUGGCUCAAACGACCCAUUUUGAAGGUCAAACAAACCUCAAAUCAGGUAAACCCCCAAUUUUACAUAUUUUCGUGUGCUAUGGUCCUUGAAUUUUUGGUGAUCUAGAAUUUCAACGUCUUCAAUGCUCAAAUUUUUGGUGGACAUUCGUUAAGACGUUAGCUAUGGAGCCAAUUGGCCUUGAUGGUCAAAAUAUCCCAUUUCCUAGGGCAAACUAGCCCCGAAGCAAAUAAACCCCCUUUUAUUACUUUUCGUGUAAUAUAGUCCAUGAAUUUUUGGUGAUCGGGAAUUUCGACGACUUUUUUGUAUUAAAUUUUUGUGGAUGUCUAUGGAUCUAGUUGUCCCUGACGGUCAAACUGAUCCAUUUUGAAAGUCAAACGAUCCCGAAAUAGGUAAACCUCUCAUUUUGCCGAUUUUCGUGUGCUUUAGUCCAUGACCUUUUUUGUGAACCAGAAAUUUGACAUUGUUUUUGCCUAAUUUUUUUUGGACGUCUGACGUUAGCUAUAGAGUCAGUUGACCCUGACGGUUAAAAUGACCCAUUGUGAAGGUCAAACGAGGCCCGAAGCAGGUAAAUCCCAUAUUUUAUCAAUUUUCCCGAGCUAUAUUCCGUGGAUCUUCAGUGAUCCAGAAUUCCAACAUUUUUUUGCUCAAAUUUUUCGUAGACGUACGUUAAGACAUUACAUAUAGAGUCAGUUGACCCUGAAGGUUAAAACAACCAAUUUUCAAGGUUAAACGAGCUCCGAAGCAAGUAAAUACCAUUUUUCCAAUAUUCAUGUACUAUUGUGCAUGAAUUUUUGGUGAUCCAGAAAUCUGACGUCUAUUUAGUCCAAAUUUUUUGUGGACGUCCGUUAAUAUGUUAUCUAUGGGGCUAGUUCUUCCAAACGGCAAAAAGAGCCCAUUUUGAAAGUCAAACUAGUCCCAAAACAGGUAAUCACCUCAUUUUACUGAUUUUCAUGUGCUAUAUUCCACAAUCUUUUUAUGGUGAUUCAUAAUUUCGACGUCUUAUUUGUCCAAACUUUUUGUGGACGUCCGUAAAGACGUUAAUUAUGGAGUA